GGAGACGUGGGUGAGCGGUUUAAACCAGCAGUCUUGAAAACUGCCGACCCGCAAGGGUCCGUGAGUUCGAAUCUCACCGUCUCCGCCA
rnacentral:tRNA from 2 species